rnacentral:piRNA from 1 species
UGACCCCUACGCGGUGGAAGAGCCGAGCGAC